rnacentral:rRNA from 1 species
GAUGAACGCUGGCGGCGUGCCUAAUACAUGCAAGUCGAGCGAACAGACGUGGAGCUUGCUCCUCUGACGUUAGCGGCGGACGGGUGAGUAACACGUGGAUAACCUACCUAUAAGACUGGGAUAACUUCGGGAAACCGGAGCUAAUACCGGAUAAUAUAUUGAACCGCAUGGUUCAAUAGUGAAAGACGGUUUUGCUGUCACUUAUAGAUGGAUCCGCGCCGCAUUAGCUAGUUGGUAAGGUAACGGCUUACCAAGGCAACGAUGCGUAGCCGACCUGAGAGGGUGAUCGGCCACACCGGAACUGAGACACGGUCCAGACUCCUACGGGAGGCAGCAGUAGGGAAUCUUCCGCAAUGGGCGAAAGCCUGACGGAGCAACGCCGCGUGAGUGAUGAAGGUCUUCGGAUCGUAAAACUCUGUUAUUAGGGAAGAACAAAUGUGUAAGUAACUAUGCACGUCUUGACGGUACCUAAUCAGAAAGCCACGGCUAACUACGUG